CCUACGGGUGGCUGCAGUGAGGAAUAUUGGUCAAUGGGCGUAAGCCUGAACCAGCCAAGUCGCGUGAGGGAUGAAGGUUCUAUGGAUCGUAAACCUCUUUUAUAAGGGAAUAAAGUGCGGGACGUGUCCCGUUUUGUAUGUACCUUAUGAAUAAGGAUCGGCUAACUCCGUGCCAGCAGCCGCGGUAAUACGGAGGAUCCGAGCGUUAUCCGGAUUUAUUGGGUUUAAAGGGUGCGUAGGCGGACAGUCAAGUCAGCGGUAAAAAUGCGGUGCUCAACGCCGUACAGCCGUUGAAACUGGCAGUCUUGAGUGGGCGAGAAGUAUGCGGAAUGCGUGGUGUAGCGGUGAAAUGCAUAGAUAUCACGCAGAACUCCGAUUGCGAAGGCAGCAUACCGGCGCCCUACUGACGCUGAGGCACGAAAGCGUGGGUAUCGAACAGGAUUAGAUACCCCAGUAGUC
rnacentral:rRNA from 1 species